AAUUCCAAGCUUGAGUUUGAUCCUGGCUCAGAAUGAACGCUGGCGGCAUGCCUUACACAUGCAAGUCGAACGGCAGCAUGACCUAGCUUGCUAGGUUGAUGGCGAGUGGCGAACGGGUGAGUAAUGCAUCGGAACGUGCCUUUUAGUGGGGGAUAACGUAGCGAAAGUUACGCUAAUACCGCAUAUUCUCUGAGGAGGAAAGCAGGGGGCCUUCGGGCCUUGCGCUAGAAGAGCGGCCGAUGUCGGAUUAGCUAGUUGGUGAGGUAAAGGCUCACCAAGGCAACGAUCCGUAGCGGGUCUGAGAGGAUGAUCAGCCAGACUGGAACUGAGACACGGUCCAGACUCCUACGGGAGGCAGCAGUGAGGAAUAUUGGUCAAUGGGAGCAAUCCUGAACCAGCAAUGCCGCGUGUGGGAUGACGGGGCUCAGCCCUGUAAACCACUGUCGGACGGGACGAAAGGAGCCUUCAGGGCUCUGGGACGGUACCGUCAAAGGAAGGGUCGGCUAACUACGUGCCAGCAGCCGCGGUAAUACGUAGGACCCGAGCGUUGUCCGGAAUUACUGGGUAUAAAGGGUGCGCAGGCGGCCGUGUGCGUCAGAGGUGAAAUCUCCGGGCUUAACCCGGAGGGUGCCUUUGAUACGGCAUGGCUUGAGUCCGAGAGAGGGUGAUGGAAUUCCUGGUGUAGCACGUGAAAUGCGUAGAUAUCAGGAGGAACACCGGUGGCGAAGGCGGUCACCUGGCUCGGCACUACGCUAGGCCAAAGC
rnacentral:rRNA from 1 species